ACCAUCUCUCAACCCUGAGGAAUGGGAAAUAUGCAGUGAGCUUCCUGCAGGAAACCCACACUACCCCAGUAGAUGAGUCCACCUGGCUCCUGGAGUGGGGUGGCGAGGUCUUCAUGAGCCACCUCAGCUCCAUUUCCAGUGGGUUGGCCAUUUUGUUGGCCCCGAAUUUCCGGCCUGAGAUCCUAAAGAUCCAGGAAGUGGUGCCAGGCCGCUUGCUCCACUUGGCCGUGCGCCUCGAUGGCUCCCUGGGGGAUAUCCAGGACCGCUGGGCACUGCGGGGGGUGGAUUAAUUCUCAGUAUAUUUGAUAUUUAAGAAUAUUUGUUUUACUUUGUGGGUGGUGGGUUUCUUGGUUUGUACAUAUUAUUCUAGUAAAUGGGUGACGUUUCGAAGGGUCUCGAACCGAAACGUCACCCGUUCCUUCUAUGCAGAGAUGCUGCCUGUCCUGCUGAGGUACUCCAGCAUUUUCUAUGUCUAUCUUCAGUUUAAACCAGUACCUGCAAUUCUUUCUUACACAUUAUCCUAGUAAAUAAUUGAUUCAAUUUAUUUUUGGUUAAAAAAAAAAACCCAGUGUGGCGCUCCCUCAAUACCACCCAUUCACAGGUGAAAGAUCUUAAGUGGUCAGUCAGAUUAAAGGAUGAAUGUGAUAAAAAAGGAAUUGCAGAUGGUGGUAUAGACCAAAAUCUUUAUCUUUACAAAAGAAACACAAAACGCUGGAGUCUGAAGAAGGGCACCGACCCAAAUUGUCCAGAUGCUGCCUGAGCCUCUGAGUUACUCCAGCACUUUGUGUUUAUCUUUCAGAGGCUGAGUGUCCUUUUGCUUCUCUGCUUCUCUCGGUUACAUUUGCAGAGCCAUAGGUGUGAUCCUGCAGGUCCCUGGGAAUGAGGAAUCGGGGGGCCCCCAGCACACAACCCACACAGGAGGAAGGUUCACAAACCACUGGCCACUCUCCCAGUAAAGUUCCUCGUUUCAACAUUUUACUGCUCCACUGCGAAAUCUCCUCGAGAUUUGCCUACUAUGAAGAAGUUGUCCUCCUCUCCUUGGCAGGAUUUCUGAGGGACCCUCUCUCACUGCUCUCCCCCCUGUGAUUGCUGCUGCUCUCCAGCCCUACCAACAUGUUGUGACCCGGACUCGCUACCCCAGCCACGUGUGUUUCCUCAAACUCGUCUGCGCCGCCACCUUGUGCCUCGUGGCUUCCAGCUCCGGGGGUCCAGCCUCCCAAUUCAGAUCCAACCCAGAUUACAGCUACCUGCACAUUACAGAUUACUGGUGUCAGAACAAUAGCCUCCUCUUGAAUGUCACUAAAACUAAGGAGCUGAUUGUGGACUUUAGAAGGGCACAACAACAGAGGACGUACACGCCACUGAGGAUAAAUGGGACUACUGUGGAUAGAGUGAGCAGCUUUAAAUACCUGGGAGUCCAAAUCACAGAGGAUCUGACAUGGACAACACACACUGCCACACUGGUGAGAAAGGCUGCCUUUACCACCUCAGGUAGCUGAGGAAAUUCAGAGUCUCCCUGAGGAUCCUUCAAUCCUUCUACUCUGCUGCAGUAGACAGCAUCCUGACUGGAAACAUCUCGAUCUGGUUUGGCAACAGCUCUGCCCAGGACAGGAAGGCUCUGCAGAGAGUGGUGCGUUCGGCCGAACGCACUAUGAGAACCACACUCCUCCCCCCCCAUGCAGGACCUAUACACCAGGAGGUGCAGAUCCAGAGCCAGCAAGAUAAUGAAAGACCCCUACCACCCCAGCAACGGUCUGUUCCAGCUGAUACGGUCAGGCAAGCGCCUCCGCUGUCAUGCUGCGAAAAUAGAGAGGAUGAGACGGAGUGUAAACUCUGAUCUCACCAGGGAGUAAUUACUGUUGUGUCUUUUUUUUUUAUAAAUGUAAAUACUGGUUCUGUUCUGUUGUUUAGCACAGUUCCGCAAGCAUUGCCACUUUCAUUUCACUGUACAUCUUGUAUGUGACAAAUAAAGUUGACUUGACUUGA